rnacentral:rRNA from 1 species
CCUACGGGAGGCAGCAGUGAGGAAUAUUGGUCAAUGGGCGCGAGCCUGAACCAGCCAAGUCGCGUGAGGGAUGACGGUCCUACGGAUUGUAAACCUCUUUUGCCGGGGAGCAAGCGUGCGUUCGUGAACGCGCGUCGUGAGUACCCGGAGAAAAAGCAUCGGCUAACUCCGUGCCAGCAGCCGCGGUAAUUCGGAGGAUGCGAGCGUUAGCCGGUUUUAUUGGGUUAAAAGGGUGCGUAGGCGGGAUGCAAAGUCAGAGGGAAAAAUGCGGGGCUAAACGCCGUCGAGCCGUUGAAACUGGCGUUCUUGAGUGGGCGAGAAGUAUGCGGAAGGCGUGGUGUAGCGGUGAAAGGCAUAGAUAUCACGCAGAACUACGAUUGCGAAGGCAGCAGACCGGCGCCCUACUGACGCUGAGGCACGAAAGCGUGGGUAUCGAACAGGAUUAGAUACCCUUGUAGUC